GACGAACGCUGGCGGCGUGCCUAAUACAUGCAAGUCGAACGCAGUGGGGACGGGUGAGUAACACGUGGGUAACCUCCCAUCAGAGGGGAUAACACUUGGAAACAGGUGCUAAACCGAUACUGAUGGAUGGACCCGCGGUGCAUUAGCUAGUUGGUGAGGUAACGGCUCACCAAGGCCACGAUGCAUAGCCGACCGGGAGGGGUGAUCGGCCAACAUGGGAAUUAGACACGGCCCCGACUCCUGAGGGAGGCAGGAGUAGGGAAUUUUUGGCAAAGGACGAAAGGCUUAACGAGCAACGCCGCGGUAGUGAAAAAGGUUUUCGGAUCGGAAAACCCUGUUGUUAGGGAAGCGGUAUCUAACCAAGAAGGCACGGCUUACUACGUGCCAACAGCCGCGGUAAUAC
rnacentral:rRNA from 1 species